GGGGAAAAGCGAAAACGACAGGCGAGACAGCAAAUCGAGACGCGGGCCACGAUCCGUCGGCCCAAUGGGCGCCGCGGAGGGCCCGGCUUAGUGGAGGAAGUGGUCGGGGCGGACACGGGCGUUGUCCUUGGCUGGCGAGAGUGUGGGGGCGCUGGUCUCUGGCCCUGGUGGCGCCACUACUGUCUUCGGAAAGAUUAUCGGGAGUAAAGUAGCAGGAGUGACGUGAACCGACGAUGAGUGAAUUUUACGAGCGGCGAGGAGAGUGCGACGAUAGCCCAGGCAGGGCCGGUGUCGGUGCCGAACGAUCGUGUGUGUCGCUUCUGUCCCGAGCACCCAUCUUGAUGGAAUGGAGCCCAAGUCACGGCCUGUUUUUAAACAUCCGGAAGGGUGGAGGAAACCCAUGGAAUGGGAAACUAAUGUCUAUCUUUGAAAGGAAGUGGGACGGUAGUUAAUGAAAAUGUAUACGUGUGUUGGGCAUAAAGAUGGUUUAAGCAUGGAGUUUAAGUUGUAAGCGUUGGUAAGAAGGGAUUUCAGUCAUGACAAAUAAAUACAACGGAAUAAUUAGAAGACA